rnacentral:rRNA from 1 species
AACGAACGCUGGCGGCAGGCCUAACACAUGCAAGUCGAACGAUAAGCCACCUUCGGGUGGUGGACAGUGGCAGACGGGUGAGUAACGCGUGGGAACGUGCCUUUCGGUUCGGGAUAACCCAGGGAAACUUGGGCUAAUACCGGAUACGCCCUUCGGGGGAAAGAUUCAUUGCCGAAAGAUCGGCCCGCGUCGGAUUAGCUAGUUGGUGGGGUAAUGGCCUACCAAGGCGACGAUCCGUAGCUGGUCUGAGAGGAUGACCAGCCACACUGGGACUGGGACACGGCCCAGACUCCUACGGGAGGCAGCAGUGGGGAAUAUUGGACAAUGGGCGAAAGCCUGAUCCAGCCAUGCCGCGUGGGUGAAGAAGGCCUUAGGGUUGUAAACCCCUUUCAGCGGGGACGAUAAUGACGGUACCCGCAGAAGAAGUCCCGGCUAACUCCGUGCCAGCCGCCGCUGUAAUAC